UUUGUUUGUCUCUGCUUGGCUCUUCUUCUCUCUCUCUCUCUAGUCUGGGAGCUGGGGGCGUGUCUGCUGCGGGCUCUGCACUCACCUGAGUCCCAUCUGCAAUCAGCACACCUGACCUGCAUUCCUCAAUCACCGCUGCUUAAAGGAGAGGCUCAGACAUCCAGUCCCUGCCGGAUCGUUUGAUCUCCAAGACUCCCACCACCUCAGCAACCACCCGCCUGUUAGCUUCGGUUCCGCCCGCAGCCUGGAUACUCCCAGCUCACGGAUUUCCCUACAGUCCGGACCUGGAGAGAGCCCUCAGAGAGAUCUCAGACUUCCCUUGCUGAUUCUCUUUGAAUAAACUGUCUAACUCUGAUCUGCAUUUGGGUCCUCUCUGCCGGAAACCUGACAAGAAUAGAGGAAUUUAAACAAAAUGAGCCAUACUAUUUAAAUCAAAUCAUAUAAUUUGCCUGUGACAUAAAGUUAAGAGGUUUUUUUUUGUUUGUUUUUGAAUGACAUUUUGGUUUCUUCAUAUGUAAAAUAGAAUAACAUCUGGCAAACUGCAGAGCGCAUCCAUUGCCUCUUGAAAUUGAAAAGCUUACAAAUUGCCGUUGGAAUUCUUGUUUAAAAGUUUAAGGUACAAAUGUGGCAGAAUUUGUACUUUAACUUUUGCAAAUGUGACAUGCUCACAAGUCAUAUCAAAUGCCUUUGAUUGUUGUACAUUUUAACAUUUUAAAAUCAUAAAUAAAUUGUUACUACUGCAUAAACAAAGU